GACGAACGCUGGCGGCGUGCCUAAUACAUGCAAGUAGAACGCUGAAGAGAGGAGCUUGCUCUUCUUGGAUGAGUUGCGAACGGGUGAGUAACGCGUAGGUAACCUGCCUUGUAGCGGGGGAUAACUAUUGGAAACGAUAGCUAAUACCGCAUAGCAAUGGAUGACACAUGUCAUUUAUUUGAAAGGGGCAAUUGCUCCACUACAAGAUGGACCUGCGUUGUAUUAGCUAGUAGGUGAGGUAAUGGCUCACCUAGGCGACGAUACAUAGCCGACCUGAGAGGGUGAUCGGCCACACUGGGACUGAGACACGGCCCAGACUCCUACGGGAGGCAGCAGUAGGGAAUCUUCGGCAAUGGGGGCAACCCUGACCGAGCAACGCCGCGUGAGUGAAGAAGGUUUUCGGAUCGUAAAGCUCUGUUGUAAGUCAAGAACGGGUGUGAGAGUGGAAAGUUCACACUGUGACGGUAGCUUACCAGAAAGGGACGGCUAACUACGUGCCAGCAGCCGCGGUAAUACGUAGGUCCCGAGCGUUGUCCGGAUUUAUUGGGCGUAAAGCGAGCGCAGGCGGUUUGAUAAGUCUGAAGUUAAAGGCUGUGGCUCAACCAUAGUUCGCUUUGGAAACUGUCAAACUUGAGUGCAGAAGGGGAGAGUGGAAUUCCAUGUGUAGCGGUGAAAUGCGUAGAUAUAUGGAGGAACACCGGUGGCGAAAGCGGCUCUCUGGUCUGUAACUGACGCUGAGGCUCGAAAGCGUGGGGAGCGAACAGGAUUAGAUACCCUGGUAGUCCACGCCGUAAACGAUGAGUGCUAGGUGUUGGAUCCUUUCCGGGAUUCAGUGCCGCAGCUAACGCAUUAAGCACUCCGCCUGGGGAGUACGACCGCAAGGUUGAAACUCAAGGGAAUUGACGGGGGCCCGCACAAGCGGUGGAGCAUGUGGUUUAAUUCGAAGCAACGCGAAGAACCUUACCAGGUCUUGACAUCCCGAUGCCAUUUCUAGAGAUAGAAAGUUACUUCGGUACAUCGGUGACAGGUGGUGCAUGGUUGUCGUCAGCUCGUGUCGUGAGAUGUUGGGUUAAGUCCCGCAACGAGCGCAACCCCUAUUGUUAGUUGCCAUCAUUCAGUUGGGCACUCUAGCGAGACUGCCGGUAAUAAACCGGAGGAAGGUGGGGAUGACGUCAAAUCAUCAUGCCCCUUAUGACCUGGGCUACACACGUGCUACAAUGGUUGGUACAACGAGUUGCGAGUCGGUGACGGCGAGCUAAUCUCUUAAAGCCAAUCUCAGUUCGGAUUGUAGGCUGCAACUCGCCUACAUGAAGUCGGAAUCGCUAGUAAUCGCGGAUCAGCACGCCGCGGUGAAUACGUUCCCGGGCCU
rnacentral:rRNA from 1 species